CUUUUCCCGCAAAGGGGAGUACCAUAGCUAAUGAGGGUUAUCCGAGGUAUGGUUAUUGCUAGUUGAAAACUAUGAAUUACUUAUCCACAACCUUAAAACUAUUUGCUGUUGUUCUUACUGUUAGACAAAAUAUUAGU
rfam:Octopus bimaculoides Scaffold174309_contig_24, whole genome shotgun sequence.